CGUUCAUCCGUCACAUUUUCAAUCUAGCUAGGCAUCGACACGAAAUUGUUCCCAUAACGAAAACAUAUUUAUUUAGUUUGCCCAAAAUAUGUUUGUUCUUUUUUAUUUUACCGUUGGUGAACCUGGUAAAGGGACAAUUAGUUCAGUUAAUAAGAGUCCAAUUCUGACAGACGAUGAAAAGGAAGAUGUGAUUGCAACAUUAUACAAGAAAUAUGGGUUAGAGAAAGAACCAAACUAGUGGUCAGGUGGCCCAAAGAUUUAAAUUCAGUAAUCUGUGGAAGAGUUUACGAUAAAACAAUCUUAUUGAUUGUUAUCACAGACCUGGAGUUGCUGUGGCAAUAUCGAGUAACCAAGAAAUUCCUCACCUCAGACAGCAGCUCAUUCUUGAUAAAUCUUCAGAAAAGAAGAAUGCAAAUGAGCUACGUGGCACAAAACAGAAGACAAGAAGGAGUCUUGUGUAUCCUGAAGGCGACAACACUCAAGAAGCAUCAUUUCCAGUAAUAGCUAAGAAAAGCAAACCCAACCCUGC